UGCGAUGGAACAUGGGAGUGAAACUUAAGGCACAUCUAAGAAUGCUCUGUGUAUUGGAUUUCGCUAAAAAGCAGUCAACUUUAAGCUUGAGAUCCUGCAUCCCUUCCUGGAUAGGGCAAGAAGUCACCAACUUCUCUCGCUGAAGUCACACCCAGCCCACAUCCUCUCCAUCCUCCCACAUGAACUCCUCUCAUCCUAUCCGCUCUGAACGUGUGCACCUGCCCACACCCACACCUGCCUCCUCCAGUCAAGAAACAGGAUACAGUACAACGAGAUUAACCAGGAAAGAGCCAGCAACCUGUUCAACCUCCCGUCCAGAUGGAGGUGUCAGCCUCAGCCAUAAGCCUGAUCGUGGCGAACAAUUUCCAGUGCUGAACAUCCCAAAACUCAUCUGCUGGGCAUUAAAACUCGAGAAAUUCCCACAUUAACUACUGCCAGAGUUUUUGUCAGCAAAAUAUAACCAUGGUUUAUCACCCAAAGUUGAUACAUUUUUAUCCAAAAGGAAAUACAGUUGAUCCUCAUUACUCACAGAGCCUGUAUUUGUGAAUUUGUCUAUUCGCUAGCAUUUACUUGUAAUCCUAAAAAUCAAUUCUUGUGGUGCCUUCAUUGUGGUUCAUGGACAUGCACAGAGGGUGGAAUUCUCAAGGCACUCCACGUGCACGCUUGCAGCUGAAGGUGAGCAGAGCAAGGCUCCCCUUCUUGUCUCAGCUUUCACACUAUAAACAAGUGUCCCUUUUGUGGUCUAUUUUGUGCCACAUUUUUCAUAUUUUUGCGCCUUUUGUUGGUUAUUUUGCUGCUUAAAAUGGCCCAACCACAGUGCCAAAGUGCUGUCUCAUGUUCCCAAGUGUGAGAGGCUGCGACGUUUCUCAGGGAGAAAGUCUGUCUACUGGGUGAGUGUCGUUCAGGCGUCACUUAGAGCACUGUUGAGUUCAACGUCCAUCAGUCAACAACGAGUACAUAUUACAGAUAGGUAUCUGUAAACCAAAUGCACAUCAAACAAAGUAGUAUAUUGGUCACUUGACAAACAUGUGGUGACGAGAGCUUUGAGGACCUUACCCCUAUAUUUGCCCCCGAGUAGCGGCCCAGCCUCCACUAAGUCAGGGUUCACGGGGACUUUGUAGAACAGAACCAUUGCAAAUCACGAGAACUGACCCUAAUUAAUUUUGCUUGUUUUCAGUCUACCUUGCUUUAUCAUGAGUUAUUUCUGAGGCAGCAAAGCAAAUGUUUAAUAAAAUCCAGG
rnacentral:lncRNA from 1 species